rnacentral:rRNA from 1 species
GACGAACGCUGGCCGCGUGCUUAACACAUGCAAGUCGAACGGAAAGGCCCUUCGGGGUACUCGAGUGGCGAACGGGUGAGUAACACGUGGGUGAUCUGCCCUGCACUUUGGGAUAAGCCUGGGAAACUGGGUCUAAUACCGAAUAGGACCACGCGCUUCAUGGUGUGUGGUGGAAAGCUUUUGCGGUGUGGGAUGGGCCCGCGGCCUAUCAGCUUGUUGGUGGGGUAAUGGCCUACCAAGGCGACGACGGGUAGCCGGCCUGAGAGGGUGACCGGCCACACUGGGACUGAGAUACGGCCCAGACUCCUACGGGAGGCAGCAGUGGGGAAUAUUGCACAAUGGGCGCAAGCCUGAUGCAGCGACGCCGCGUGAGGGAUGACGGCCUUCGGGUUGUAAACCUCUUUCAAUAGGGACGAAGCGCAAGUGACGGUACCUAUAGAAGAAGCACCGGCCAACUACGUG